rnacentral:rRNA from 1 species
UAUCUCUGUAGAGUCUGCAUAUCAAUAAGCGGAGGAAAAGAAACUAACUAAGGAUUCCCUCAGUAACGGCGAGUGAAGCGGGAAGAGCUCAAAUUUGAAAUCUUCAAGGUUUUACCUUGACGAAUUGUAGUUUAAAGAAGUGUUUUCUGUUGAAGUUUUGGCUAAAAGUUCUUUGGAAUAGGACAUCAUAGAGGGUGAGAAUCCCGUAUUUGACCAUUAUUUCCAACUUUGUGAUACACUUUCAAAGAGUCGGAUUGUUUGGGAAUGCAGUCCAAAAUGGGUGGUAAAUUUCAUCUAAAGCUAAAUACUGGCGAGAGACCGAUAGUGAACAAGUACCGUGAGGGAAAGAUGAAAAGAACUUUGAAAAGAGAGUUAAACAGUACGUGAAAUUGUCAAAAGGGAAGCGUUUGACACCAGUGUUGUUUUCUCGAAAAUCAAUUAAAGAAGAUUGGAUUUUGUGUUGUAUUGACUUUAUCAGCUUUCUGCACUCUUUUCUUGUCUUUUUUAAUGCGCUUUUCGUUUAACAAGUCAACAUCAAUUUCUUUUGUUGUAAAAGGGUCAUUGGAAGGUGGCUUUCUUUUCGGAGAAAGUGUUUAUAGCCUUUGGCCUCUGCAAUCGGAGAGAUUGAGGUCUGCAGCGUAGAUCCUUCGGGGUUAGAUACAUUUGUGCUAAGUUAUAGCCUUUCAUAGACAACUUGUUGACUAUGAUCAGUCAUGUAGCUUACUCGCUUAUGCUAUUUUACCUACGCUUAGGAUGUUGAUGUGAUACUGCGAGCA